rnacentral:tRNA from 1 species
AUCCGAGUAGUUUAAUAAAAAUAAUAAGUUGUGGGCUUGUAGUUGUAGAUAACUACCUUGGGUU